AUGAGGACCGGAGCCGGGUUACAGGCUUGGACUUCGAGCAGCUCAGGGAGAGUCUCUGCGUCCUCCAGCCCCCGCUUCCCUUCACGUCGGAGAUCCUAAGCCCGCAGCGAAGUCCGCAAAGAGCUUUCCCCGACGCCUACGAGACCGGAAGUGCCUGGGCCCAGGUGGAGGAAGGACCCGCGUGGCCUCCUCCGCGCUCUCCCUGGGGUCCGUGCCCCUUCCGGCGUUUCUCCCGCGUCCUUCACCAUGGCAACUCGGGCGUUGGGAGCGUGGGCUGCGAGCCAAGUGGGUGGGGAGCCGCUGGGCUCUAUCCGCCAGCCCACGAGAAGUGACGAAGGUGACGGGAGGCCGCAGGGACCUGAGGGCGGAGAGAGGAAUUCAGAAAGUGCCGGGCGGCGGCUUCCGUUUCCUCUGCGGGGUCUCUGGGUGGUCGUGGCUGGGAGCUGCCGGGGCCCGGUGGCCGUGCGCCUCUGCUCCGGGCAAGCUCUCCCUGCAAGGCCCGGGCGGCGGCAGGGGGCAGUAGCGGCCCGCGAUGCUCGGAGGCUCCCUGGCACGGAGCUCCCGGGCUGCGGCGUCCAGAUCUGGAGAAGCCGAGGGCCUUGGUCACACUCAGAGCUGACGUCCAGUGCGGCCCUUGCUGAGGACUCGAGCAAGCAGAUCUCUACCCAGCCCCCGCCCCACGCGCACCCAGCCUGGGUCAGCUCGCCCUGCCCUCAGCCACGCAGCUGGUGGCUAAGCGCGGGCUCCGGGUUCAGGCUGCCUUGAGCUCUGCUGGUUCCCUCUGAAAGUGGUGAUAAUGAUAGCAGGAGCACCAUUGAAAGAGAAUUAGACGAACUGGAGUCUACUCAGAAGAGGCUGUUGGGAAUGGCCCUGGCACCACAUCCUGAGCAGGGAUGGCCGAUGGAAUGGGGAGAAGACUCAGGUGGGGCUUGAGUGUGUCCUCUGAUGACUGAAGAGCCUUGGGAGCAAGCAUCCUUCCUGCUACUAUGUGUUUGCUGGUUCCAAUGAUACAUAAUUUGUGCUUUUCGUAAUUAAAGUAUUAUCCUGUA